rnacentral:lncRNA from 1 species
CUGUAUCAUCUCUAAACAGAUCUGGGGCCAGGCUCUUGUAUCAUCUGUAAAUAGACCAGGGGGCCCAGGCUAUCUUGUAUCAUCUCUAAACAGAUCCAGGGCCCAGCUAUCCUGUAUCACUCUCUAAACAGAUCUGGGGCCCAGGCUAUCUUGUAUAUAUCACUGUAAACAGAUCCAGGGGGCCGGCAUAUCCUUAUCACUCUGAAACAGAUCCAGAGGCCCAGCUAUCUUGUAUCAUUCUCAAACAGAUCCAGGGGCCCAGGCUAUCUUGUAUCAUCCUUAAACAGAUCUGGGGGCCCAGGCUAUCUUGUAUCAUCUAUAAACAGAUCUGGGGGCCCAGGCUAUCUUGUAUCAUCUCUAACAGAUCUGGGGUCCCAGGCUAUCUUGUUUCAUCUCUAAACAGAUCCGGGGGCCCAGCUAUCUUGUAUCAUCUCUAAACACAUCCAGGUGGCCAGGCUAUCUUAUAUCAUCUCUAAACACAUCCAGGGCCCAGGCUAUCUUGUAUCAUCUCUAAACACAUCGCGGUGGCCAGGCUAUCUUCUCUAAACACAUCCAGGGGCCAGGCUAUAUCUUGUAUCAUCUCUACCAGGGGCCCAGGCUAUCUUCUAUCAUCUCUAAACUCC